AGCCCCUAAGUCACUGCUCAGGGAGGUGCUGGCGUCACCAGCCUCUCACAAACAACUCAUCACUGAGGAUGAAAGUACAACUGGGUGAUGCUCAUUGAUCUUCUUGGGCACCGGAGUAAUCGAAGCCUACGGGAAGCGGUCGGGGACCAGGCAGUGCGGGAGCGGGAGGUUAAAGAUAAUACUCCAGCCAGUUGGUCAGCACAGGUCUUCAGUAAUCGGCCAGGUACCCCGUCCGGUCGCGAUGCUUUCCUUGGAUUCAUUCACCCUCCUGAAGGCAGCCGGCGGCGGCUGGCCCCGAAAAUCCUAAUCAGUAAUGAAAAUGGCGCCAAUGGUUUUCCAGUUGGAUUCACAUUGAACAGAGAGCAUAAAUCGUAAACCGCACUGUAUAAAUGUGGCGUCUUAGAAUCAGUCAGUAAGUACGCUGACCCAGAACAGACUGUAAUUCCGGUCACAGAGUGAACAACCAUGAAGUGGAGCAUCCUCCUCUUAAUCAGCUUCGUUCUGUUGUUCUCUCUACCGUGUAACGCAGAAUCGGAAAAUACAACAUGUUUACUUCAGCCUGGGAAAAAAGUCUGUGAUAAGUCAAAAGAACCAGGGAGUUGCAAAGCCCAGAAAACUCGGUAUUUCUUCAAUACAGCCACUAAGAAAUGUGAGCCCUUUACUUAUAGUCACUGUGGUAACUAUCCAAGCGAAAAGAAAUGCAUGGCACGUUGUGAAAAGGAUCCAAGAUAGAAAUGGAAGAGCAUUCUUGCUGCAUUAACAUAAAUGGCACCGUUGGGAGAGAGAAAUCAGUAUCAUUUGUGAUCAGAGCUAAAGAAUGGAGAUGUGAGCAUCAAAGAGAAAACUUCACGAAAUGUCAAUAUCUUAAGUAAUUUUACUCUCGAAAUUCUGCAUGCUAAUCCACACAUACCUUUAAUUAGAUGCCUUUAAAUAAAGAAAUGUGGAAGCUGUGUGAUUUUUGUCAUCAGUUUAAAAGAAGUUAAAUCUGAUAAUUACUGCUAAACUCUUACCAUGGUGGAGAGUAUUCUGUAUUUCAGUUCUUGCAGUUCUAUUUACAAGUUGUGCAUGUGCUAAAAUCAAAAUAAAAUAAAGGAAUUACA